CGUCACCGAAGAAGACCCUCUACGUCCUGACCAGCGUUGAGCUACAGAAGAAAUAUAAAGGGAGAUGUUUGGAUAAGGUGGCGUUCACUCUCCCUUACGGCAGAUCUAUAAAACUAUGUAAGAAGAAAGAAAGACCACCUACCUGUUACCCAAUGCUAACUUCCAUGCAACGUUUGAGUCUGAUUCCCUCCGUAACUACCCAGGCUUUGACAUCACUGUACAACAUGUCCCAAGCAGUUGCCAUUUAACCAUUGACCUGAGCUCUGGUGGAUUAACUUCUGGGUACAUAUACACACCUAAUUUCCCCAGAAUGCACCCGAAAAAUACCCAGUGUGAAUGGUGGAUUAAGGCUCCCUCAGGCAAAAGAAUAGUAAUUAACAUCCAGAAAAUCAGGAUCAAAAGUUCUCCAGGCUGCAGUAAGGCAUACGUGGUAGUCGACAAGUCAGGCACGGCUCAGUACCAGCCAGCCACCAGCAUCAUCCUCUGCGGCAAAGUCAGAGGCGCCGAAUUUACAUCCACCAGCGACACUCUCAACGUUGUGUUCGAUGGCGGGAAGAAACGUCCAAAGGCAUGAAGGGCUACUAUAGGGUUAUAAAUUAAUG